rnacentral:rRNA from 1 species
UACGAAGGGCGCGGGUGUUAUUCGUUUUGAUUGGGUGUAAAGGGUACGUAGGUGGUUCCCGCCGUCGUUUGGCCGAAAGAGCGGAGUGUUCCUACGCUGGUGGCCUUCCGAACAGGGAGCUUGAGGUGGGUAGAGGUAGGACCAAUUUCUUAUGUAGGGGUAAAAUCCUCCGAGAUAAGAACGAAGGCCGUCUGGAGAAGUCGUCUUUCUACGCCCCCCUGACGCUAAGGUACGGAAGCUUGGGGAUCAAACGGG